rnacentral:misc_RNA from 1 species
GAUGAAGAACGUAGCGAAAUGCGAUAAGUAAUGCGAAUUGCAGAAUUCAGUGAGUCAUCGUAUCUUUGAACGCACAUUGCGCCCUGUGGUAUUCCGCAGGGCAUGCCUGUUCGAGCGUCAUUUCAACCCUCAAGCCUCGCUUGGUGUUGGGCCCUGCCCGCCGCGGCCGGCCCUAAAGAUAGUGGCGGCGCCGCCUGGCCCUCAGCGUAGUACAGCUCUCGCUCCAGGGUCCGGCGGCAGCCUGCCAGAACCCCCCAACUCUGUGGUUGACCUCGGAUCAGGUAGGGAUACCCGCUGAACUUAAGCAUAUCAAUAAGCGGAGGA